rnacentral:rRNA from 1 species
AGGACGAACGCUGGCGGCGUGCCUAAUACAUGCAAGUCGAACGGUCUUUCUAUGGAAGCUUGCUUCCACUGAGAAGAUAGUGGCGAACGGGUGAGUAACACGUGGGUAACCUGCCCAUAAGAGGGGGAUAACAUCCGGAAACGGGUGCUAAUACCGCAUAGUUUUCUUGAUUGCAUGAUUGAGAAAGGAAAGACGGCCUUUGUGCUGUCGCUUAUGGAUGGACCCGCGGCGUAUUAGUUAGUUGGUGAGGUAACGGCUCACCAAGACGAUGAUACGUAGCCGACCUGAGAGGGUGAUCGGCCACAUUGGGACUGAGACACGGCCCAAACUCCUACGGGAGGCAGCAGUAGGGAAUCUUCCGCAAUGGACGAAAGUCUGACGGAGCAACGCCGCGUGAGUGAAAGAAGGUUUUCGGAUCGUAAAACUCUGUUGUCAGAGAAGAACAAGUUGGAGAGUAACUGCUCCAGCCCUGACGGUAUCUGACCAGAAAGCCACGGCUAACUACGUGCCAGCCGCGGC